rnacentral:rRNA from 1 species
AGAGUUUGAUCCUGGCUCAGAGUGAACGCUGGCGGCGUGCCUAAUACAUGCAAGUCGAGCGAUGAAGCUCUAGCUUGCUAGAGUGGAUUAGUGGCGCACGGGUGAGUAAUGCAUAGAUAACAUGCCCUUUAGUCUAGGAUAGCCAUUGGAAACGAUGAUUAAUACUGGAUACUCCUUACGAGGGAAAGUUUUUCGCUAAAGGAUUGGUCUAUGUCCUAUCAGCUUGUUGGUGAGGUAAUGGCUCACCAAGGCUAUGACGGGUAUCCGGCCUGAGAGGGUGAACGGACACACUGGAACUGAGACACGGUCCAGACUCCUACGGGAGGCAGCAGUAGGGAAUAUUGCUCAAUGGGGGAAACCCUGAAGCAGCAACGCCGCGUGGAGGAUGAAGGUUUUCGGAUUGUAAACUCCUUUUGUUAGAGAAGAUAAUGACGGUAUCUAACGAAUAAGCACCGGCUAACUCCGUGCCAGCAGCCGCGGUAAUACGGAGGGUGCAAGCGUUACUCGGAAUCACUGGGCGUAAAGAGCGCGUAGGCGGGAUAGCAAGUCAGAUGUGAAAUCCUAUGGCUUAACCAUAGAACUGCAUUUGAAACUGUUAUUCUAGAGUAUGGGAGAAGGUAGGUGGAAUUCUUGGUGUAGGGGUAAAAUCCGUAGAGAUCAAGAGGAAUACUCAUUGCGAAGGCGACCUGCUAGAACAUAACUGACGCUGAUGCGCGAAAGCGUGGGGAGCAAACAGGAUUAGAUACCCUGGUAGUCCACGCCCUAAACGAUGAAUGCUAGUUGUUGUGGAGCUUGUCUCUGCAGUAAUGCAGCUAACGCAUUAAGCAUUCCGCCUGGGGAGUACGGUCGCAAGAUUAAAACUCAAAGGAAUAGACGGGGACCCGCACAAGCGGUGGAGCAUGUGGUUUAAUUCGAAGAUACACGAAGACCCUUACCUAGGCUUGACAUUGAUAGAAUCCGCUAGAGAUAGUGGAGUGCUAGCUUGCUAGAACUUGAAAACAGGUGCUGCACGGCUGUCGUCAGCUCGUGUCGUGAGAUGUUGGGUUAAGUCCCGCAACGAGCGCAACCCUCGUCCUUAGUUGCUAACUAUUCGGUAGAGCACUCUAAGGAGACUGCCUUCGCAAGGAGGAGGAAGGUGAGGAUGACGUCAAGUCAUCAUGGCCCUUACGCCUAGGGCUACACACGUGCUACAAUGGGAAGCACAAAGAGAUGCAAUAUUGUGAAAUGGAGCAAAUCUAUAAAACUUCUCUCAGUUCGGAUUGUAGUCUGCAACUCGACUACAUGAAGCUGGAAUCGCUAGUAAUCGUAAAUCAGCUAUGUUACGGUGAAUACGUUCCCGGGUCUUGUACUCACCGCCCGUCACACCAUGGGAGUUGUAUUCGCCUUAAGUCGGAAUGCCAAACUGGCUACCGCCCACGGCGGAUGCAGCGACUGGGGUGAAGUCGUAACAAGGUAACC